UGGGGAAUAUUGCACAAUGGGCGCAAGCCUGAUGCAGCCAUGCCGCGUGUGUGAAGAAGGCCUUCGGGUUGUAAAGCACUUUCAGCGAGGAGGAAGGGUAGUGUGUUAAUAGCACAUUGCAUUGACGUUACUCGCAGAAGAAGCACCGGCUAACUCCGUGCCAGCAGCCGCGGUAAUACGGAGGGUGCAAGCGUUAAUCGGAAUUACUGGGCGUAAAGCGCACGCAGGCGGUUUGUUAAGUCAGAUGUGAAAUCCCCGCGCUUAACGUGGGAACUGCAUUUGAAACUGGCAAGNCUAGAGUCUUGUAGAGGGGGGUAGAAUUCCAGGUGUAGCGGUGAAAUGCGUAGAGAUCUGGAGGAAUACCGGUGGCGAAGGCGGCCCCCUGGACAAAGACUGACGCUCAGGUGCGAAAGCGUGGGGAGCAAAACAGGAUUAGAUACCCUGGUAGUCCACGCUGUAAACGAUGUCGACUUGGAGGUUGUGCCCUUGAGGCGUGGCUUCCGGAGCUAACGCGUUAAGUCGACCGCCUGGGGGAGUACGGCCGCAAGGUUAAAAC
rnacentral:rRNA from 1 species